rnacentral:rRNA from 1 species
AUGCGUAGAAAUUUUUUAAUUUCUGCAACGAUCCCCAACAAUUCUCUAUCCCCAUUAAUGUUUAACAUAGCAGCUGAUGCUUCAGCAAAUUUGAUGGACAAUGCACGAAAAAAAGGACUAAUCAAAGGUUUGCUAGCUGAUAACAUAGAGGGAGGGGUUAAUAUGCUGCAAUACGCAGAUGAUACCAUCUUCCUGAUACAAGAUGAUUAUGAUAGUGCUUGCAAUCUAAAAUAUAUUUUGUGCUUAUUUGAAGAGAUGUCUGGUCUAAAAAUUAACUUUCACAAAAGUGAAAUCUUCUUGUUUGGGGCAGCAGAAAAAAAGAAACAGGAAUAUUCCAGGAUAUUUACAUGCCCUGUGGGUGAGCUGCCAAUGAGAUAUUUAGGACUCCCAAUUAAUAAGAAGAGAAUUAGAAACAAAGAUUGGAAACCUUCUAAAAAUAAAAUGGAAGGGAAGUGUGGGACCUGGCAGGGAAGAUUAUUAGCAAGUGCAGGUAGGCUGACUCUAAUACAAACCUCGUUGACUGGGAUCCCAUACUUUAUGAUGUCGUUUUAUGGGUUGCCUGUGGGUGUGGAAAAGAGAAUGGACUUUUUCAGAGCCAGGCUGAUGUGGCAGGAAAGCGAUGAUAAGAAAAAAUAUCAUCUGGUGAAGUAG